CCUACGGGGGGCAGCAGUGGGGAAUAUUGGACAAUGGGGGGAACCCUGAUCCAGCCAUGCCGCGUGUGUGAAGAAGGCCCUCGGGUUGUAAAGCACUUUCAGUGAGGAAGAACGCCUGGUGGUUAAUACCCAUCAGGAAAGACAUCACUCACAGAAGAAGCACCGGCUAACUCCGUGCCAGCAGCCGCGGUAAUACGGAGGGUGCGAGCGUUAAUCGGAAUUACUGGGCGUAAAGCGCGCGUAGGUGGCUUGAUAAGCCGGUUGUGAAAGCCCCGGGCUCAACCUGGGAACGGCAUCCGGAACUGUCUAGCUAGAGUGCAGGAGAGGAAGGUAGAAUUCCCGGUGUAGCGGUGAAAUGCGUAGAGAUCGGGAGGAAUACCAGUGGCGAAGGCGGCCUUCUGGACUGACACUGACACUGAGGUGCGAAAGCGUGGGUAGCAAACAGGAUUAGAUACCCUGGUAGUC
rnacentral:rRNA from 1 species